AGAAGCUCCAAAAAAAGAAGAGGAGAUGCAAGAUCAGUUACAGAGGAACGAUGGAAAUAUAACUGUUGGAAAAGUUCAGAGAAGACUUUCCAGGACAUCUGGAUCUAAGAGUUCCAGUAGUUCAGAAAGAGAAGAUAAACACAUGGAGGUUAGUCUCCCACUACCCAAAGAAGCUCCAAAAAAAGAAGAGGAGACGCAAGAUCAGUUACAGAGUAAUGAUGGAAAUAUAACUGU